AGAGGCGUUCGCACAAAGAACUCAAAUCUUUAUUCUCUGUGAGUCUAACUCUGCGCCAUGAUGGAAGCAUGUGAUGUUUUUCCCCCCCACUUUUGCUCCGGCAGCUGUUAAGCUUGCUUAUACUACCUUGGACUACUCCAUCUGUCUGACGUUGACGGACACUUUGACUUUUUUUUUCUUCUUUCUUUUGAAAUAUUUAAAUAUAAAACAAAUCUCUAGGUCGUAAUGAUGGUUGACUGGAUGCUGGAUUAAUCACACAUGUUGCGGUGAAGAAUUUCAAUUAUUUUCGCCCAUUGCCUGAUUAAAUACGUUGUUGAUACUGUAAAGUCUUUUGUCCAAUAUAUCAGGGAAGACGCUUUUAGCCGAUGACUGAGAACAGGCCAUAAAUCCAUCGGCGAUGUGGGAUGGCAAGUUAAUUAUAUAUGUACUUUUAGAAGAGCGAAGGAGGAGCUAUUUCGGUGUGGGGACUUCCUCUGUGAGGGAUGAGAGAGAGUGAGAGAGAGAGAGAGAGAGAGAGAAGACGCGGGGCUUUCUGCGACUCCGCAACCGGAAAGGUUUUAAACAUCUCGGAAAAUGGCAUGGAACAUUUCAUUUCCUCGAGCGUCUUUUCCAGUCUUUUCUUUGUUUUGGAGUUGCUGGUAUUUUU